GUCCCAUAAUUCUACAUCAGCAACAUCAUCGUGUCACUUCUCCGCCUUAUUUUUGUGACAAUAAUAGGCUGUUAAGACGUACCACCCAGUUUCUCGACCUACUGCUUGUUGACUGUACUGUAUCAUUACAAGGAUCACUAGGCCAUUACCAUUGGCGCAUAAUCCCCAUCAUCGCUCCUAGAACAAAUUGAACAUACAAUCUAGUGUUACUUCUGCCAGACUACUGUCGAUGUUCUGAGACACCAGUGGGCUUACAGUUGUGAGAAGGCCAAGGCGGAGCUGGGUUAUACCCCGAGAAGCUUCAAAGAUGGUCUUACAGAAAUGCUUCCCUGGUUGAAGAACUUGGGCUUGAUUAAAUAUUAGGAUGCUGAUCUGAAUUUUGCAUUGCAGGUUUGAAGUUGAUAUGUAAAUUGUGAUCCUUGAAUAUUCUGUUGCAGCAUUAUGAAAUAUAUUAUGUUGUUUACGGUUUAAGCUUAUUUUUAUGUUUUUACCUGAAUAAGUCCGAUGUGACUUGUUCAACAGAUCAUUUGGAUCAAACUACUUUUUAGUUGUUAUCAUUUGAAACUGGAAGUUAUAUUACCUCAACCACGCUAUUUUCAAUCA